rnacentral:lncRNA from 1 species
UCAGAUCGUCUCUAUUAAUGUGAAUAUUCCUUUUGCUGCUAUUGUUAAGAGAGUGAAAACUUGUAUAAUUUUUGCAGACUUCGUAUAUUGAUUAUUGAUCGUCUCUAUUAAUGGGUGACUUGCUUUGUAGGAACAUUGGCAUUUGUUCGGUGCUGCACUCGGAACUAUGAGUGGUAAUGGAUGGCUUAGACAUCGCGUGGCAGCAAGGAUUAACCCAAUUGAUAGUGAAAAGUGAUAGCUUGGAAACUGUUAAUAUGAUUCAAAAGCUUAACAGCGACAACUGCUAGUUAGACGAUGGACUGUCAGACUCCAGCAUAUUCCUCGCACAGCAGCAGCUGAUAUUAUGACGAAGUCUCUAAAAGAUGCUUUUGUAGGCCUACAAUUUCUUGAGGAGUCCACAGAUAUGAUUCAAUCGGCUAUUCUUCAUGUUGCAGAACUAAAUUUUCAGUUUUAUAGGUCAAUUGACUAGUCCGUACUAAGUUCUCUUCUUUUAUAAAAAAAUAAAAAUAAGAUAUUUAUAAAAUUAUUUCAGUAAUUUAGUUUUUUCUUUUUAAAUGUAAAGUAAGCUAGUCUAAGAGGAGAGUUUCCAUGGCAAUUUUCAAAUUAAUGUCUAUGUGGGUACGUUCUGAAAUUCUCUUAUCCCUCUCUAUUCAUGAUAGUCAAAGUAGGUUAUUUAAAUUAAUCAAAUUUUAUUUAUUUGCUUAUAGGAAGAGGAACUACCUACCCAGGGCUUUACUUACACAAGGCUAGAUACGAGUAGUCGCUAGAAUUUUUUAAUGUCUCUCCUCCAUAAACAAUUGCAAAGUUAUUUUUGGUAAUUCGUAAUCUUUUAUGGGCUCGUAGAGAUGGAGAUAGGCCCAAUAAUCUGUCCAAGAGGUCUACAUAAUGGGCAAAUUUAACUGAAGCGACAUAAAAAAGCACCUGCCUGCUCUGGCUUCAUUUGAAUGUUUAAUUUCAGUGAAAUGAGUUUAGUGUUUUUUUCUCAUGUUAUACUAUUGCUAUAGUAUCUAAUUUUUACCGUCAAUGUUAUUUUUACACUAAUUACAAGUAAACACACCCUCUAUUCAAAGGGACCCUUAAAAUCAAUGAGAUUGUUGGUAGAGAGAGGAGAGUAAUCUUCUUUUGUGGAUUGAUUCGGUUUGUUUUUAUAGUUUAAUCCAUCACUUCUAAAUUUAAUCGAUUGAUAUAAAUCUUACUUAAA